rnacentral:rRNA from 2 species
GACCUCGAAUCAGGUAG